rnacentral:rRNA from 1 species
GCUAGUGAGGGCCGGGGGGGGGGGGGAAUACUUGGGGGGCAAGGGUUAUGCGUAAGGAUUUGGCGUAAAGGGCGCGCAGUGUGUUUCUUAAGUCUGAUGUGAAAGCCCACGGCUCAACCGUGGAGGGUCAUUGGAAACUGGGAGACUUGAGUGCAGAAGAGGAAAGUGGAAUUCCAUGUGUAGCGGUGAAAUGCGUAGAGAUAUGGAGGAACGCCAGUGGCGAAGGCGACUUUCUGGUCUGUAACUGACACUGAGGCGCGAAAGCGUGGGGAGCAAACAGGAUUAGAUACCCCAGUAGUC